rnacentral:rRNA from 1 species
GAUCAACGCUGGCGGCGUGCAUGAGACAUGCAAGUCGAACGGAUGACUCGGGCUUGCUCGAGUCGUUAGUGGCGGACGGCUGAGUAACGCGUGGGUGACCUGCCCCGAAGUGGGGAAUAACUGCCCGAAAGGGUGGCUAAUACCGCAUGUGGUGGUGCGUUCAAUUGCACCAGUAAAGCCGCAAGGCGCUUCGGGAGGGGCCUGCGUCCGAUUAGCUCGUUGGGGGGUAACGGCUCACCAAGGCGACGAUCGGUAGGUGGUCUGAGAGGACGAUCACCCAGACUGGGACUGAGACACGGCCCAGACUCCUACGGGAGGCAGCAGUCGGGAAUUUUGCUCAAUGGGGGAAACCCUGAAGCAGCAACGCCGCGUGAGGGAUGAAGGCC